rnacentral:tRNA from 1 species
GGUAAAAUGGCUGAGGAAGCAUUAGACUGUAAAUCUAAGGACAGGGGUGAGGCCCCCUUUUUGCCAC